ACUCAGCUUACUUAAGACUCCGAUUGCAUAAACUUGGUGCCUAAAGACAAAUGACAUCAAUCUCCUCUUGAGUGAGUGUUCUUUUUUGAACCAAAUGAGGAAGCUGGGGCCUCUGGAAAAAACAGCACCAACUCAGGUCAGGGAACUUGUCU
rnacentral:lncRNA from 1 species